rnacentral:sRNA from 1 species
UGGAGCUGGUGGACCGGGCGGCUGACCGAGGGGCGGGUGCGCGGCGGGGCAGACCGCUGGGGACUGCGGGCGGCGCUGUGUCCGUCGCCAUGACAGAUCAGACCUAUUGUGACCGCCUGGUGCAGGACAUGCCUUUCCUGACAGGCCACGGGCGCUUGAGUGAGCAGCAGGUGGACAGGAUCAUCCUCCAGCUGAACCGUUACUACCCACAGAUCCUUACCAACAAGGAGGCGGAAAAGGUGCUGAGGAGAUGCCACGUGCAGGGCUAUCCUGAGGGUUGGGGCAUCUCCUAGAACAAUGAGAUUGGCCCACAACAGAACAGGAGUCAACACGGGCCCUGCUACUGGCUCAGUUCCGGAACCCCAAGGCAUCCUUGCGUGUGCGGCUCUGUGACCUCCUGAGCCACCUGCAGCGGAGCGGUGAGCGGGACUGCCAGGAGUUCUACCGAGCCCUGUAUAUCCAUGCCCAGCCCCUGCACAGCCGCCUGCCCAGCCGCCACGCUCUGC